rfam:Geobacillus sp. CAMR12739 Contig47, whole genome shotgun sequence.
CCCGCACUACAACCGCUCAGCGCGGGCGAUGAAGCGUCCGUCUGGGGCCGCCUUGACGCUGGCGAGUCUGAGUCGAUGA